rnacentral:rRNA from 1 species
CGGAGGAUGCGAGCGUUAUCCGGAUUUAUUGGGUUUAAAGGGUGCGUAGGUGGUGAUUUAAGUCAGCGGUGAAAGUUUGUGGCUCAACCAUAAAAUUGCCGUUGAAACUGGGUUACUUGAGUGUGUUUGAGGUAGGCGGAAUGCGUGGUGUAGCGGUGAAAUGCAUAGAUAUCACGCAGAACUCCGAUUGCGAAGGCAGCUUACUAAACCAUAACUGACACUGAAGCACGAAAGCGUGGGGAUCAA